rnacentral:misc_RNA from 1 species
UUGAUUUUAGUUAUUUGUGAACGCUACUACGAACAAACAAAAAAAUAUUAUAGUCAAAAAAGAUUAAAUCA